rnacentral:lncRNA from 1 species
AUCGAAGAGAAGAAUACUUAUCCAAUAAUUUUUUUAAUCAUCUUAAAAGUAGAGGUAUUCUCUCUGAAUGGACCUUCUUUAUAUACCUCAAUUAAAUGGUGUAGUAGAGAGGAGAAAUCGCACUUUGAUGGAUAUGGUGUAGUCUAUAAUGUACUUCUCUGAUCUCCCAAUAUCUUUCUGAAGAUAUGCCCUAGAGACUGC